CAGUCGCCACGGUAAUACGAAGGGGGCUAGCGUUGUUCGGAUUUACUGGGCGUAAAGCGCACGUAGGCGGACUUUUAAGUCAGGGGUGAAAUCCCGGGGCUCAACCCCGGAACUGCCUUUGAUACUGGAAGUCUUGAGUAUGGUAGAGGUGAGUGGAAUUCCGAGUGUAGAGGUGAAAUUCGUAGAUAUUCGGAGGAACACCAGUGGCGAAGGCGGCUCACUGGACCAUUACUGACGCUGAGGUGCGAAAGCGUGGGGAGCAAACAGGAUUAGAUACCCGAGUAGUCCCUGUCUCUUAUAC
rnacentral:rRNA from 1 species